rnacentral:rRNA from 1 species
CAGCAGCCGCGGUAAUACAGAGGGUGCGAGCGUUAAUCGGAUUUAUUGGGCGUAAAGCGUGCGUAGGCGGCUUUUUAAGUCGGAUGUGAAAUCCCUGAGCUUAACUUAGGAAUUGCAUUCGAUACUGGGAAGCUAGAGUAUGGGAGAGGAUGGUAGAAUUCCAGGUGUAGCGGUGAAAUGCGUAGAGAUCUGGAGGAAUACCGAUGGCGAAGGCAGCCAUCUGGCCUAAUACUGACGCUGAGGUACGAAAGCAUGGGGAGCAAACAGGAUUAGAUACCCCUGUAGUCCCUGUCUCUUAUAC